rnacentral:misc_RNA from 1 species
AGUAUAUACGUUGGAUAGAGAAAUUGAGUCUUAAUCGCACCAUAGACGAGGUACAUUGCACUUGAUUCGCGCUCGUGUCUCAUGUCGGCUAAGUAGUUCGAAUCGAUAUUCGUUCAAACAGCAUCCGGCGAUGAUGCCACAGAUCGUGAUGGUAUCGCCAUCGCGUUAAUAUUGGCGUCAUCUGACGCCGAAGUUCCAAACACAAGCGGCGUAGUAUAGUACGGUAAUAAAGAGUACUGAGCUGGUGGAAAGUAUGCCGAUGGGAAAAGCCCUUGCCUUUGGGCAAUCUUUAAUCUGGAGCUUGUACUCAAUUACCACUUUCUUCGAUUCGGCCUGCUCAUUGGACCACGACUAGAGUUACCAAGCGUGUCUAAAACAUGUGGGAUUGUUUGAGGAACGUGUGACAUCUUACUGUCAAUACGAGGCAGAAUGUGGCAAAGAGCUGGACAAACAGUUUAUACCGAGGAACGUUUGGAUGCGA